rnacentral:lncRNA from 1 species
UUCAGUUCAUCCUUUGAAACAAUGGAUUGGACUCUUGCUGUUUGUGGAUCCUUGUCUGGGAUAGUAACCACAAAUUAUCAUGGUUACCUACGAUGAUUGACACCAGCUAUUGGGAGAGCUAGAUAACCAUGUUCAUUUCCAAUAAGAACAGUAGGGCAAUCUACGGUUAUGCAUCUGCUGACUUUCUCAAUACAGGUCAGUAUUUCAUAAACUUGAUUGUAUAUUUACAUUCCAUAAGUAUUAUGGUUUUGCUUCUGUUCAUCGGUCUUGAGGUCAUAAUUUUACUUUCAUAUGUACAUCACUCUCACUGUAUGCAGCAAAGUCCUGUUAUGCUGGCAUCACCCCCAAAAGAGAAUCCUUUUUCCAAUUCCAGUCAUAAGAGCAGGUGCAAUAGCAGUAUAAGCCAUCUAUAAGUGAGAGUGAUGUACAUAGAUAAGAGAGGAGAGAGGAGAGAGCAGAGAGAAAAGAAGUGAGUUAUAAAUUUAUAGCCAACUGCAACACGGAUACGGAUUUCAGGAAGCUAUGCGUGUAUGAGAGAUAGAACCAGAUAUUAAUUGUGUAGUGUAUAUUUAUAGAUAACUAUGGUAUAAAUUGGCUAUAGAUGAUUUAG